UCGGGGGCAGCGGCGGACGGGUGAGUAACGCGUGGGAACGUGCCCUUUGGUACGGAACAACUGAGGGAAACUUCAGCUAAUACCGUAUGUGCCCUUCGGGGGAAAGAUUUAUCGCCAUUGGAGCGGCCCGCGUUGGAUUAGGUAGUUGGUGAGGUAAAGGCUCACCAAGCCUACGAUCCAUAGCUGGUCUGAGAGGAUGAUCAGCCACACUGGGACUGAGACACGGCCCAGACUCCUACGGGAGGCAGCAGUAGGGAAUCUUGCGCAAUGGGCGAAAGCCUGACGCAGCCAUGCCGCGUGAAUGAUGAAGGUCUUAGGAUUGUAAAAUUCUUUCACCGGGGACGAUAAUGACGGUACCCGGAGAAGAAGCCCCGGCUAACUUCGUGCCAGCAGCCGCGGUAAUACGAAGGGGGCUAGCGUUGCUCGGAAUUACUGGGCGUAAAGGGAGCGUAGGCGGAUAGUUUAGUCAGAGGUGAAAGCCCAGGGCUCAACCUUGGAAUUGCCUUUGAUACUGGCUAUCUUGAGUAUGGAAGAGGUAUGUGGAACUCCGAGUGUAGAGGUGAAAUUCGU
rnacentral:rRNA from 1 species